rnacentral:rRNA from 1 species
ACCAAUUGCGAAGGCAGCUUUCUGGAUCAUUACUGACACUGAGGAACGAAAGCAUGGGUAGCGAAGAGGAUUAGAUACCCUCGUAGUCCAUGCCGUAAACGAUGUGUGUUAGACGUUGGAAAUUUAUUUUCAGUGUCGCAGGGAAACCGAUAAACACACCGCCUGGGGAGUAUGACCGCAAGGUUAAAACUCAAAUGAAUUGACGGGGACCCGCACAAGUAGUGGAGCAUGUGGUUUAAUUCGAAGAUACGCGCAGAACCUUACCAACACUUGACAUGUUCGUCGCGACUCUAAGAGAUUAGAGUUUUCGGUUCGGCCGGACGAAACACAGGUGCUGCAUGGCUGUCGUCAGCUCGUGUCGUGAGAUGUUGGGUUAAGUCCCGCAACGAGCGCAACCCUCACUUUUAGUUGCCAUCAUUAAGUUGGGCACUCUGAAAGAACUGCCAGUGAUAAGCUGGAGGAAGGUGGGGAUGACGUCAAGUCCUCAUGGCCCUUACGUGUUGGGCUACACACGUGCUACAAUGGCAUCUACAACAGGAAGCAAAACGGCAACGUUAAGCAAAUCCCGAAAAGAUGCCUCAGUUCGGAUUGCACUCUGCAACUCGAGUGCAGGAAGCUGGAAUUACUAGGUAAUCGUGGAUCAGCGUGCCACGGGGAAUGGGUUCCCGGGUCUGGUACACACCGCCGGUCACACCAUGGGAGUUGGUUCUACCUUAAGGCAAGGUUUUAAACCCUUGACCACGGUAUAGUCAGCGACUGGGGUGAAGUGGUAACAAGGUAACCGUA